UGACUAGGGCCAGGAGUUAGAUUCCAGUU
rnacentral:piRNA from 2 species